AUAUUCCAACAACGUCCUCAUUCUUCGCUGAUCAAAGGAGCCGGGAUUGAACCUGCUGUAAUCAUCCGCUGGGGAGUUUGCUUAAAAUUCCCCUAAUUACGGGAGAGCAGAAAAUUGCUAUGCCUCAGACUGAAUAGAGAAAUCGAAGGCGCCCUGCUCCAGCUGCCAGUCUGGGAACUGAGAGGCGAGGGGGCCCGGCUACAAACUCCAAGGAGAGGAGGGAGAACCAGGUUCCUGGCCUGUGCCAGGAGCGGGAGAGGAAGGCGAGGAGCCACUGCGAUGGGAAUGUGGUGACUGGCUCAGGUCCACGCUUCCCUCUGCGUUCUGAGUGUGUGGAGUAGACUUACAAUCACUUCAGUGUCCGGGACCUGCCAACACCGUCCAUUUUCUCUCUUCUGUUCUUUCUCUGUUGACUGAUUUUUCUUGUGGCAACCCACUCAGUGAGUGCCAAGGAGAUCAAGGAGACUGGGAUGCAGAGCUUCCUGCAGCAGAUGGACCAGGACACCACAGCAUUUACACCAGAUGCCAUGGACUGCCUUCCCCUUCUCCCUCAUCCACCCCAGCACUGGUGGGGAGACUCC